GCCGCGUGUGUGAAGAAGGCCUUCGGGUUGUAAAGCACUUUCAGAUGUGAGGAAAGGGUUGUAUUUAAUAGAUGCGAUCUGUGACGUUAACAUCAGAAGAAGGACCGGCUAACUCCGUGCCAGCAGCCGCGGUAAUAAUCACU
rnacentral:rRNA from 1 species